GGCAAACCACUGCUGGCUCUCAGGACCGAGUCAGCACGCUGCGAUCUACGAGCCUCCCACGAGGCACUGAGUGACAGCAGGGCAUGCCGAGAUACUUGCCAACAGGGCCAGGACUGAGAAAGGCUUUGCUACAAGUGCUGCCCGAGCCUCGCUCGCUCCUCCAGGCACCUGUAAGCAGAGGGGAGGGAGCCCUCCGGACGUGCCACGUAGCCAGCAGCUCUCCCUUUGCUCGGGGACGGCAAAUGCCGACAGCCGUCGUUAUCAGGACUGCUGCGCUAUCUAGGAGGCUGAUAAGGAGUCCACUGCGUUACUGUACACGCAGCAGUGUCCCCGCUCUGGAGGACUCGCAAUCUAACAGAAGACAAGAUCCAGCCGAUGGGGAGGAAGAGGAAACGACCAGAUACCAGCAGUCAGCAAGGCAGGCAGCGGUUCGGACUGCGCCGGAGCAGAGGGGAGCUAAGGGAGGAGUGGAAGGAGAGCGGGCAGCGUGUGGGACAGAUGUUGAGUUCCUCUUCCCCGUCCUCUACUUGGUCGUGCUGCGUGGGUAGCUCGCCUGGCACAUACCAGAGGGGACUCGACCCAGUCCAUGUGCGCCAUGCGCUGGCCCCUGACGUCACUCACACAAGUGAAGUGCUUCAAUUGAGCCUCUGGUGACGGAGAAGGAAAAGGGCCUGGGGCUUCUCUGCUCCAGUGCAGGAUCCUGUUGGGAAAGGCCAGCUUGUCCCUUCUCCGAGGAGAGACUGAGCACAGCCACCCUCCAGCUAAAAUGCUAAUGGAGGGGGCAGGAGGUGCCAUUUGCCCCGACUUGGGUGGUGUAUCGGGAGAGAGGCAGAAGGCGCAGGAAGCGCCUGGCAUUUGCAAGGAGAGUCCAAAUGUCUGGCUGAAAAUGGAUGAGCUGUCAGCAAAGCUGCAGCAGUGCAGUGGAAGGGAGAACCACGGCAGGUCCCAGCAGUCCCCCGAAUACCUGCUGGUGAGCUGCGAGCCAGCAACACCCUCCUUGCGCCUAUGAGCGUCAUGCAUGGGGAUUUCAGUCGUUCACACAUCCGCCUCCAGCGAUGAUGGGAGGGAAGGGUGUCUGAGAAGACUGAAGCCAAGGAGGCAAGAACAGCUCUGUCUUCUCUGCACUUUCAGAUGGGAGCUCACCUUCUCUGGUCAGCAGCAGCCCCCAGUUUGUUGGACACUGGUAGACCCCCCCUUGUCACCUUAAAUAUCCCUUGCCAGCUGCAUCUCCUGAUGUGCCAGAGGGUGGUACAGUUCCCACACCCCCUGGCAGCAACACCGUGUGUAACCCCAGGGACCAGGCUGGGCCAGUAAACCCUUUUACUGUGCAGAGCACAAGAACUGGAACCAGAAAUGGAAUAUUAAAUAAAAGAUUUCCUUUUAUUUAAAAUACAAUGCAUUUAUACGUAGUCUUUCCACCACAGGCUACCGGGACACAAGACUGGUAAUUCCUUGGCAUGAGGUGGGUCAGGCUCCCUCGGCGCUGGUGCUGGUGCUGGUGCACAGGCAGGAGCCGCUGACUCCAGGCAGGGUUAUUAAAGACACUGCGGCCUGGCUCUAACAAAAGUCGGACUUAACUUAGAUAAAAAGGUACUGAACUGCAACUAUCCGUUCCUAAACUCCUACCCUUAUCUUUUAGAAGCCUAAUAGCAUUAAUGCUGAUGCACGAGAUCUAUGCAGUACUCUAGCUGGCUUGUGAGACUAGUUAAAAAAAAAAA